ACUGCGCCGUGCGGAAGCCUCCGCUCGCGGUUAGAUAAACAACCUCCUCUGCCGCCCAACACCACCCUACCCCGCACGCCCCGUCGAACCCCAGGGCCUGCGUCCUGAGCAUGCGCAGUUCGCUUGCCUGAGCCGGGAACCUGGUCAACUGGAGAAUCCCACGCUCGGCAUUUGGGGGAGACAAGAUGUUAGCGGGGCCGGAGCAAUCUGCAGGCUUUAACGUGAGGCGGAGAGUGAAAAGAAGAAACGGGCAAGGCUCAAAAGGAGGUCUUGGUGAGGGAUUUUGCUUGACACCACCCAGUCUCUCAGUACUGACAGUUUGGGUUUUUAUCCUGCAUCAACGUAACGAGAAGCUUUUUUGAGGGAACGAACAUAAAUACAACGAAGCGAAGCUUUCUUUUAAGACUCAGAACUGUGAGGGAGGGGUCGCCUGGCCCCUUCUGCCCACUGCCCGAGGUGGCGAAGGCGAGUCCGCGGAAGCCAGGCGCACGCCCGGUGACGUUGCUGGGGGUCCCGCCCAACGCCCCCAGCCCUGCCCUGCUCCAGCGCCGGCCUGCUGUCGAGCUCUUCCCACGCCCUCUCAGCUACGGGCGCUUGGAAAACCGGGAGAACGGAGCUCCCACCCGCAACAGAAGGCCCAGGGACACCUCAUAGCAACAGCUAGCUGGGGCACCUAGUAGGAAGCUGGGAUUCAGUCCAACCAACCAGAUCACGUUUCUGUACCCCAUGGUAUCUUUCUCGGCCAAUCGAGAGCCACUUCAUGCCACGUGACACCCACCCGUCAGCCAAUGGGGGAAACUCUAGUCGCAGGAUCAACCAACUCACCUCCCUUUGCCUGGCCAGGCUGGGCGUUUGCUCCUGCGCACCUCUGCCAACCAAUCGUAGGUCCCCAGAAGUUGAGAAGCUCUGGAUUGCAGUGCAUCUGAUAGAAGUUGUCACACAAAAAAUAGUGAGUGGGCUCCCUAGUCACCCCACUUAGCAUAAUAAAGAAUAGGAGAGCUUUU